CUUUCCGCACACCUGCCUCGCGGCACGUCUGUUUGCCGGUUAAUUGCCUCUUGACUGAGAACAUCUCAUUUACAAGAUACCCUUAUUCAACUUUUCUCCUUCAUGCAACAGACUGCUUCUAUAAGGUAAUAAAAUUCCUCCCAGGGCGAGACAGGGCUCAGCGGACCAACCUGGGAGCCCCCUCCCGGGUGUUCGCGAGGGACUCAAGAUGGCGGACCGCGCCGGCUCGGUGAAUCGUGGUAUCAUCAAGCAGAAAUUGGGUGCACAGACUAGACCAGGUUUGGGGGUUCAGCACUAUAGUUCUGAGCCUUCAGCUAGAAUUUCCGUGAAGGGUUAGUUCUAAGACCAAAGUGGCUAAUUCGGCAUAGCAGAUGCGGUGCGGCAUGUAAACUGGACUCUGCCACUUAAAACUGUGGCAAAAAAUGUGGCACAGAGGACUUCAACACAGACUUCUUGACCAAAUGAUUGCAUGCUCUGGGAGUUCAGAGGACGAAGGCAAGAAGCUUGGCUUGAACUGUAUAUCUCUCAGAGAACAUCAGUCCAAUGCAGGAGAUACUCGGCAGACCCACGGUUGCAGGUGAGUGCAGGGAGACCUCCUUAAAUCUAAGAGUAUUGCAGUAACCUCAGUUCUGGUCUCAAGUCUCACUUCUAGGACAGAGCCUCCAUAUUUAGCAGGGACAGGAAAGAAAAGGGGAAAGGAGACAGCCCAUAUUACAAAGCAGUGCCUUUUUUUUUUUUUUCUCCCCCUCCUGUGGCAUGUGCAAGUUCCUGGGCCAGGGAUGGAGCCCUCACCACAGCAGUGAAAAAUAAAUCGAUCUCAUACUUGCUGCCUAUUCAUAGUGUGGUUUUGCCUUUCAGUAUACCUUCAAUUUUUUGCUUCUUUUUUGGCCACCCCACAGCAUAUGGAAUUCCCAGGCUAGGGAUCAGAUCCAAGCCUCAGCUGUAACCUACGCUACAGCUGUGGCAACACCAGAUACUUUUAACCUGCUGUGCCAGGCCAAGGAUCAAACCUGCAUCCUUGGUGCUACAGAGAUGCUGCUGAUUCUGUUGUGCCAUAGCAGGAACUCCUACCUUUAAUUUUUUGAUAGCUGCACAUGAUGUACCAGGUCAAAGGACCUGCUGUCACUAGGUCUUCAGUAAGUGGUGAUGAGGUGUAAGGGCAGAGGAAGGUUCCUACAGUCCUAGAAGUAGGUCUUGGUCUUUCGGUGAGCCUGUUCCUCCAGACGAUCAACUUCACAGGUGUUUCUCACAUUUAUUUGACCUCCCUCUUAGGUCUGAGAGGGGAAUAGAGGGUCCUGGGUGGAUGCUUCCCUUCUUCCACUUGGAAGGCUAGGAAUGAACUUAGGAAUUUCACUUCCCCUAGGUCACUGAGGCUCUGAUAAUAUCCCAGCAAGUUAGGCUAAGGUUAACUAGUUCCUCCUCAGUUAAUAAGGGCAGACCUUGUUAAGAAAAUCAGAAUGCUCUGGCACAUUUCAAAAUGGUUCCUUAUUUCUUCCCUUGCUGGAAGACCAGGGGAUUUUUCUCCCGUAUUUACUGUGAGAACCUGGUUGAGCAUGGAGGUAAAUCUCAGACAGUUGCAGAGCAGGAAGGUGCAUUUUUAAUGUUCAGAUGUUGUCCACACCAAGGGCUUAAUCUCCAAAAUAUACAAACAACUCAACAACAACAAAAAAUAAAAAAA
rnacentral:lncRNA from 1 species